rnacentral:rRNA from 1 species
GCUCAGGACGAACGCUGGCGGCGUGCUUAACACAUGCAAGUCGAACGAUGAUGCCCAGCUUGCUGGGUGGAUUAGUGGCGAACGGGUGAGUAACACGUGAGUAACCUGCCCCUGACUCUGGGAUAAGCGUUGGAAACGACGUCUAAUACUGGAUAUGAUCACUGGCCGCAUGGUCUGGUGGUGGAAAGAUUUUUUGGUUGGGGAUGGACUCGCGGCCUAUCAGCUUGUUGGUGAGGUAAUGGCUCACCAAGGCGACGACGGGUAGCCGGCCUGAGAGGGUGACCGGCCACACUGGGACUGAGACACGGCCCAGACUCCUACGGGAGGCAGCAGUGGGGAAUAUUGCACAAUGGGCGAAAGCCUGAUGCAGCAACGCCGCGUGAGGGAUGACGGCCUUCGGGUUGUAAACCUCUUUUAGUAGGGAAGAAGCGAAAGUGACGGUACCUGCAGAAAAAGCACCGGCUAACUACGUGCCAGCAGCCGCGGUAAUACGUAGGGUGCAAGCGUUGUCCGGAAUUAUUGGGCGUAAAGAGCUCGUAGGCGGUUUGUCGCGUCUGCUGUGAAAUCCCGAGGCUCAACCUCGGGCUUGCAGUGGGUACGGGCAGACUAGAGUGCGGUAGGGGAGAUUGGAAUUCCUGGUGUAGCGGUGGAAUGCGCAGAUAUCAGGAGGAACACCGAUGGCGAAGGCAGAUCUCUGGGCCGUAACUGACGCUGAGGAGCGAAAGCAUGGGGAGCGAACAGGAUUAGAUACCCUGGUAGUCCAUGCCGUAAACGUUGGGCGCUAGAUGUAGGGACCUUUCCACGGUUUCUGUGUCGUAGCUAACGCAUUAAGCGCCCCGCCUGGGGAGUACGGCCGCAAGGCUAAAACUCAAAGGAAUUGACGGGGGCCCGCACAAGCGGCGGAGCAUGCGGAUUAAUUCGAUGCAACGCGAAGAACCUUACCAAGGCUUGACAUACACCGGAAACGGCCAGAGAUGGUCGCCCCCUUGUGGUCGGUGUACAGGUGGUGCAUGGUUGUCGUCAGCUCGUGUCGUGAGAUGUUGGGUUAAGUCCCGCAACGAGCGCAACCCUCGUUCUAUGUUGCCAGCGGGUUAUGCCGGGGACUCAUAGGAGACUGCCGGGGUCAACUCGGAGGAAGGUGGGGAUGACGUCAAAUCAUCAUGCCCCUUAUGUCUUGGGCUUCACGCAUGCUACAAUGGCCGGUACAAAGGGCUGCGAUACCGUAAGGUGGAGCGAAUCCCAAAAAGCCGGUCUCAGUUCGGAUUGAGGUCUGCAACUCGACCUCAUGAAGUCGGAGUCGCUAGUAAUCGCAGAUCAGCAACGCUGCGGUGAAUACGUUCCCGGGCCUUGUACACACCGCCCGUCAAGUCAUGAAAGUCGGUAACACCCGAAGCCGGUGGCCUAACCCUUGUGGAAGGAGCCGUCGAAGGUGGGAUCGGUGAUUAGGACUAAGUCGUAAC